AUUCUAGAGCUAAUACAUGCUAAAAACCCCGACUUCCGAAGGGGUGUAUUUAUUAGAUUUAAAAGCCAAUGCCCUUCGGGGCUGCCAGCUGAAUCAUGAUAACUUAACGAAUCGCAUGGCCCUGCGCCGGCGAUGGUUCAUUCAAAUUUCUGCCCUAUCAACUUUCAAUCGUAGGGUUUUGGCCUACGAUGGUGUUAACGGGUAACGGGGAAUUAGGGUUCGAUUCCGGAGAGGGAGCCUGAGAAACGGCUACCACAUCCAAGGAAGGCAGCAGGCGCGCAAAUUACCCAAUAGCGACACGCUGAGGUAGUGACAAUAAAUACUGAUCGGGGGCUCAUUUGGGCCUCCGAAUCGGAAUGAGUACAAUUUAAAUCCCUUAACGAGGAACAAUUGGAGGGCAAGUCUGGUGCCAGCAGCCGCGGUAAUUCCAGCUCCAAUAGCGUAUAUUAAAGUUGUUACAGUUAAAAAGCUCGUAGUUGAACUUUGGGCCUGGCUGACCGGUCCGCCUCACCGCGUGUACUGGUUCGGCCGGGCCUUUCCUUCUGGGGAGCCGCAUGCCCUUCACUGGGUGUGCCGGGGAACCAGGACUUUUACUUUGAAAAAAUUAGAGUGUUCAAAGCAGGCCUAUGCUCGAAUACAUUAGCAUGGAAUAAUAGAAUAGGACGUGCGUCCUCAUUUUGUUGGUUUCUGAGGGCGCCGUAAUGAUUAAUAGGGGUAGUCGGGGGUGUCAGUAUUCAAUUGUCAGAGGUGAAAUUCUUGGAUUUAUUGAAGACUAACUACUGCGAAAGCAUUCACCAAGGAUGCUUUCAUUAAUCAGUGAACGAAAGUUAGGGGAUCGAAGACGAUCAGAUACCGUCGUAGUCUUAACCAUAAACUAUGCCGACUAGGGAUCGGGCGGUGUUACUAUUUUGACUCGCUCGGCACCUUACGAGAAAUCAAAGUUUUUGGGUUCUGGGGGGAGUAUGGUCGCAAGGCUGAAACUUAAAGAAAUUGACGGAAAGGCACCACCAGGCGUGGAACCUGCGGCUUAAUUUGACUCAACACGGGAAAACUCACCAGGUCCAGACACAGUAAGGAUUGACAGAUUGAGAGCUCUUUCUUGAUUUUG
rnacentral:rRNA from 1 species